UCAUAUCUCUUGGUAUCUUACCUGCUUCC
rnacentral:piRNA from 1 species